rnacentral:lncRNA from 1 species
AGAAAUUUACACAUUUCAUAAUCGAAAAUAAGUUUAGAUAUCUAAAACAUUCAUUUAAAGUGAAAUUAUAGCUAAUGGAAUAAAAUAAAAAUAAUGAAUAAAAUAUUCUAAUUUUUCAUAAAACAAUUUUUAUAGAACGCUACGUAAAUAAUUUUUACAACGUAAAAGCAAAAUAAAUUCCUACAUACAGUAGCACACGCAGCCAGGUAUUCAAAACAUUUAACAAUGACAUGUGGGCCCCCGAAUGACUAAAAGUAAUGAAGGUUGUGAACCUACAGUUUUUGAGGAUGCAAGUCCAACUGUAGCCCUCAACAAAAUAAGCUAUCUACCUACUAUCCUGAGCUUGAAAUGGGUGGAAAGAAGGGUGGUGAGAUUAUAUAAUCCCAGUGAGUAAACAAAUAUCAUCUAAAACAUCUAAAGCUAAGUAAAUGGAGACAGAUAAAAUAGAUUAGCAUUUCACCCAAAUAAAUAACGAAGCUUACGAUUUCCUGAAAAGCUUGGCUCGUGCCAAAAUCAUUCUCAUACUCGGUUGUCAGGGAUACCUUGACCUGGGGCUAUCCCAACCGAAUCCGCCAAGACUGUUAAAAAGUCAUGUACGCAUAUAUCAUGUUUUUAUUUUGAAAACAUAGUCGUUCCUUGGCGUUGGUUGAGUUCACCCUCGCAUGGUGGUUUGGCAUGAAGUUAACUCUAAAGUUUUACCUCAAGAGUUACCCUACGCACCUCUUCAACCGAGGUAAGAAUAUACCCGGAUUUCGUGCCCCUCAAAAAGGCUGGUCCACAGAACCCGCCACUGCAGUGACCAAUCUAUAACCCACCAAUUCAAUAAAAAUUCAACAGCAUGACAUGGCAAUUUUAUCAUUAUCCAGCCUAUCAAGGCAAACAACAGUUUAUACAUUUUCAACACAAAUACCCAUCCAGCCAUUCAUGCCCACAUUAUCAUAAGCCAUUCAAUUCAAAACAUAAUUUACAAUACAGCAAGUAGUCUCCAAUUACUCCAUUUUCAAGUCAUCAUUAAAUUUCAAAACAAUUUAUAAAAUC